rnacentral:rRNA from 1 species
GACGAAGGGGGUUAGCGUUGUUCGGAAUUACUGGGCGUAAAGCGAGUGUAGGUGGUUGUCCAAGUUGGAUGUGAAAGCCUUGAGCUCAACUCAAGAAAUGCAUUCAGGACUGGGCGACUAGAGGACCGGAGAGGAUAGUGGAAUUCCCAGUGUAGUGGUGAAAUACGUAGAGAUUGGGAAGAACACCAGUGGCGAAGGCGGCUAUCUGGACGGUUUCUGACACUAAGACUCGAAAGCGUGGGGAGCAAACAGG